UACAGAGGGGGCAAGCGUUAUUCGGAAUUAUUGGGCGUAAAGGGCGCGUAGGCGGACUAUUAAGUCAGGGGUGAAAUCCCGGGGCUCAACCCCGGAACUGCCUUUGAUACUGGUAGUCUCGAGUCCGGAAGAGGUGAGUGGAAUUCCGAGUGUAGAGGUGAAAUUCGUAGAUAUUCGGGAGGAACACCAGUGGCGAAGGCGGCUCACUGGUCCGGUACUGACGCUGAGGUGCGAAAGCGUGGGGAGCAAACAGG
rnacentral:rRNA from 1 species